rnacentral:piRNA from 1 species
UAAAGCCAUGAUUUUAUCUCUAAG